rnacentral:rRNA from 1 species
AACGAACGCUGGCGGCAUGCCUAACACAUGCAAGUCGAACGAGACCUUCCUGUUUACUGGCUCCCGGGUUCGUAACGCGUUGGAUCCUGCCCUUAUGUUCUGAAUCUCUCCCCGAAAUGGGUCCUAAUACCGGAUUAUUUCUUCGGACCAAAGGUUUCUCGGCUUUGUAUGGUCGCGCGUUUGAUUAGCUUGUUGGUAGGGUAAAAGCCUACCCAGGCGAGGAUCCAUAGAUUGUCUGAGAGGAUGAUCAGCCACACUGGGACUGAGAAACGGCCGAGACGAGUACGGAAGGGAGGAGAGGGGAAUAUUGGAAAAAGGGGGAAAGAGUGAAGCAGCAAUGGCGAGUAAGUGAUGAAGGGGUUAGGGUUGUAAAGGUCUUUUAGAAGGGAUGAUAAUGACAGUAGCGGGAGAAGAAGCACCGGCUAACUACGUG